rnacentral:lncRNA from 1 species
GAAAUGCCAAAGCUGGAGGAGGGGAUGCCAGGAGGCUGUGGCUUCAGGCCUAGAGAGUCCAUGUGGCUGACCUCAGAAAGAACAGGACAAGGCCUUGUCACAUAAGCAGAAGCAGCUUGUGCAUGACGAGGUAGGGCUGCUUGGUUAUAAGUUUCUUCUCCGGUAACAGUGAAAACAUCCUUAGCCCCAGGGGAGAGUGAACAGUGGACGGGCUCUGACCCGCAGGAAUGCCAAACUUUUAUGAUGAGUCCCUUGGUCAAGACUUCCUGCCAUCACCAACUUCCAAUCCUGGCUCAGAUACUUACGGGGUGAAUGACCCCUAGCAUUAUGUGGCCAUGAAAAAAAAAACCACAUUGGAUUGGAAGACGUUCAUUUGAACCCCAAAUAAACUCCUGGCUCCCCUUCAUUUAGAGCUGGGUAUCCUGAAACCAAUUUCUUGGACUCAACCUUGGUUUCCUUCUUUACAAAAUGGGAUGUCUCAUACUGCCUCCUUCCAUGAGCUUUUGUGAGGAAACCCUUAAAGAACGAUGUGGAAGUUUCAUGCCCAGUUCCACAACAGACCUAUUUUAGCC